UGCCUUUUAAUCAAUUUGUGAUCUUCUCCUUUGCCCAUAAUUCAUGACAUGACGUUCCUACAUAUCAUGUCAAAAAAAUAACAAUAAUGAUGCAAUGAUGAUGACAAACCUCAUAUCUACUAUCUUUAAUUUAUGCCUCUUCCUGUUUGUCUCACCUUUGCAACUUUUGUUAGCCUAACCAAGUAAAGCAGUAGAUCAAAAAUUGAACAAAAUUCAGGAUUUGCUUCAGUACUCCUUAUUUUUGACAACUUCUAACCAGUCUUCAUCAUCCAACUAACGUGGAGCAAAGAAGGUAAUUUGCUUAUUAACCGGUUCAGCUGGUUACCAAUUUUAGAGGGGCAGAAAGAGAUAGCGAUAGAGAUAUCAGAAAAUAGAUUUCCCCAAGAAAGGAGAAAAAAGAGAAAGGGAAGGAGAGAAGUAAAAACAUACAAAUGGAGGCACAAGGGAGAGGGUGCA
rnacentral:lncRNA from 1 species